GAUAAUCAAAUUGUAUUAUCCGCACUCGAAAUGCGGUGAGCGGGUAACCGCUCCCUGGGUUCGAAUCCCAGUCUUU
rnacentral:tRNA from 1 species